AAUGUCAUGGACAAACUUCUAAACAGGAUGUUUGAUAUAAUGCUUAUAUAUGUCUGUGUCUUUUGGUAUGUUCAUACUUUGCACAACAUGUAUAGGGACGAUCGAAGGCUUAACAGCCCCAUUUUAAUUGGGUUUGGUGGUCGUUUUAGGCUUGUAAAUAAAGGUUGUGUUAUGUGGACACUUGUGAGAGAUAUUCGGUCU
rnacentral:lncRNA from 1 species